rnacentral:rRNA from 1 species
AGCAGUCACGGUAAUUCCAGCUCCAAUAGCGUAUAUUAAAGUUGUUGCAGUUAAAAAGUUCGUAGUUGAAUUUCGGGGUUAGUAGGCUGGUUAUUUCACUGAAACUCUGUCGGGUUAUGUACUGGUCUUACUAAUUCCUCCUUCCUGAUGAACUGUAGUGCCAUUAAUUUGGUGUUGCAGGGAAUCUGGACUGUUACUUUGAAAAAAUUAGAGUGUUUAAAGCAGGUUAACGCUUGAAUACAUUAGCAUGGAAUAAUGAAAUAGGACGUUCGAUCCUAUUUUGUUGGUUUCUAGGAUUGACGUA